rnacentral:rRNA from 1 species
GACGAACGCUGGCGGCGUGCUUAACACAUGCAAGUCGAACGGAAAGGCCUUGCUUUUGUGGGGUGCUCGAGUGGCGGACGGGUGAGUAACACGUGAGUAACCUGCCCUUGACUUUGGGAUAACUUCAGGAAACUGGGGCUAAUACCGGAUAGGAGCUCCUGCUGCAUGGUGGGGGUUGGAAAGUUUCGGCGGUUGGGGAUGGACUCGCGGCUUAUCAGCUUGUUGGUGGGGUAGUGGCUUACCAAGGCUUUGACGGGUAGCCGGCCUGAGAGGGUGACCGGCCACAUUGGGACUGAGAUACGGCCCAGACUCCUACGGGAGGCAGCAGUGGGGAAUAUUGCACAAUGGGCGGAAGCCUGAUGCAGCAACGCCGCGUGCGGGAUGACGGCCUUCGGGUUGUAAACCGCUUUCGCCUGUGACGAAGCGUGAGUGACGGUAAUGGGUAAAGAAGCACCGGCUAACUACGUG